AUUGAACGCUGGCGGCAGGCUUAACACAUGCAAGUCGAGCGAGUGGCGGACGGGUGAGUAAUGUCUGGGAAACUGCCUGAUGGAGGGGGAUAACUACUGGAAACGGUAUCUAAUACCGUAUACCAUCAGAGGUGCCCAGAUGGGAUUAGCUAGUAGGUGGGGUAAUGGAUCACCUAGGCGACGAUCCCUAGCUGGUCUGCGAGGAUGACCAGCCACACUGGAACGGAGACACGGGCCAGACUCCUAGGGGAGGCAGCAGUGGGGAAUAUGGCACAAUGGGCGCAAGCCUGAUGAAGCUAUGCCGCGUGUGUGAAGAAGGCCUUCGGGUUGUAAAGCACUUUCAGCGAGGAGGCGUUACUCGCAGAAGAAGCACCGGCUAACUCCGUGCCAGCAGCCGCGGUAAUUC
rnacentral:rRNA from 1 species